AUUGAACGCUGGCGGCAUGCUUUACACAUGCAAGUCGAACGGUAACAGGCCGCAAGGUGCUGACGAGUGGCGAACGGGUGAGUAAUGCAUCGGAACGUGCCCAGUCGUGGGGGAUAACGCAGCGAAAGCUGCGCUAAUACCGCAUACGAUCUAUGGAUGAAAGCGGGGGACCGUAAGGCCUCGCGCGAUUGGAGCGGCCGAUGUCAGAUUAGGUAGUUGGUGGGGUAAAGGCUCACCAAGCCAACGAUCUGUGGCUGGUCUGAGAGGACGACCAGCCACACUGGGACUGAGACACGGCCCAGACUCCUACGGGAGGCAGCAGUGGGGAAUUUUGGACAAUGGGCGCAAGCCUGAUCCAGCAAUGCCGCGUGCAGGAAGAAGGCCUUCGGGUUGUAAACUGCUUUUGUACGGAACGAAACGGUCCUGGUUAAUACCUGGGGCUAAUGACGGUACCGUAAGAAUAAGCACCGGCUUACUACGUGCCAGCAGCCGCAGUAACAC
rnacentral:rRNA from 1 species